rnacentral:rRNA from 1 species
AUUGAACGCUGGCGGCAUGCCUUACACAUGCAAGUCGAACGGUAACAGGUCUUUCGGGAUGCUGACGAGUGGCGAACGGGUGAGUAAUACAUCGGAACGUGCCUAGUAGUGGGGGAUAACUACUCGAAAGAGUGGCUAAUACCGCAUGAGAUCUAUGGAUGAAAGCAGGGGACCUUUGGGCCUUGUGCUACUAGAGCGGCCGAUGGCAGAUUAGGUAGUUAGUGGGAUAAAAGCUUACCAAGCCUACGAUCUGUAGCUGGUCUGAGAGGACGAUCAGCCACACUGGGACUGAGACACGGCCCAGACUCCUACGGGAGGCAGCAGUGGGGAAUUUUGGACAAUGGGCGCAAGCCUGAUCCAGCAAUGCCGCGUGCAGGAUGAAGGCCUUCGGGUUGUAAACUGCUUUUGUACGGAACGAAAAGUCUUGGGUUAAUACCCUGGGAUCAUGACGGUACCGUAAGAAUAAGCACCGGCUAACUACGUG